AGAGUUUGAUCCUGGCUCAGGAUGAACGCUAGCGGCAGGCCUAACACAUGCAAGUCGGACGGUAACAUUGGUGCUUGCACCAGAUGACGAGUGGCGCACGGGUGCGUAACGCGUAUACAAUCUACCUUUUACAGGAGGAUAGCCUUUAGAAAUGAAGAUUAAUACUCCAUGGUAAGUGACUGUGGCAUCACAGACACUUUAAAGCUUCGGUGGUAAAAGAUGAGUAUGCGUUCUAUUAGCUAGAUGGUGUGGUAACGGCACACCAUGGCAACGAUAGAUAGGGGCCCUGAGAGGGGGAUCCCCCACACUGGUACUGAGACACGGACCAGACUCCUACGGGAGGCAGCAGUGAGGAAUAUUGGACAAUGGAGGCAACUCUGAUCCAGCCAUGCCGCGUGCAGGAAGACUGCCCUAUGGGUUGUAAACUGCUUUUAUACAGGAAGAAACCGCUCUACGUGUAGAGCUCUGACGGUACUGUAAGAAUAAGGAUCGGCUAACUCCGUGCCAGCAGCCGCGGUAAUACGGAGGAUCCAAGCGUUAUCCGGAAUCAUUGGGUUUAAAGGGUCCGUAGGUGGAUAAUUAAGUCAGAGGUGAAAGUCUGCAGCUCAACUGUAGAAUUGCCUUUGAUACUGGUUAUCUUGAGUUAUUAUGAAGUAGUUAGAAUAUGUAGUGUAGCGGUGAAAUGCAUAGAUAUUACAUAGAAUACCAAUUGCGAAGGCAGAUUACUAAUAAUCAACUGACACUGAUGGACGAAAGCGUGGGGAGCGAACAGGAUUAGAUACCCUGGUAGUCCACGCCGUAAACGAUGGUUACUAGCUGUUCGGACUUCGGUCUGAGUGGCUAAGCGAA
rnacentral:rRNA from 1 species